UUCCUUCCUAUUUUGCAGCAGCUGGUGGGAGCAGCAGAUGGAAGAACAACAACUGCAGAGAAAUAGGCCGGAAGCGUUCAAGGCUCUGUCACUGAAAGACAAACAAGCAGACCGGAGCCCAGAGGGAGCGGUGGAAUAUGCCUGGAUGAAAUGUUGCCAAAGUCUGGGCAUACACUGGACAGAGAAGUCCAGCAGCAUUCAGCGCUCCAGCUCAAACUGCACCACCACAUGGCAGGGUUCAAUAAUUCACAGCUCAUGAAUCAUGUUCUCACACUGCAUGACCCGAUGCUUGGAUGCGACCUGACUGCUCUCCCUGCACGCGUGUUUGUGACACAUGAUAACCUUGAAUCCAGGACUAAACAAAAGAAGAAGAAAAGAGGAAAAAAGCAAAGAAGAGGAAAAGUCAGGAGACAUGAAUGCCCAACAAAAGCAUACUUCCUUGCCUCCGUACAGACUCCAUGCUCCAAUACUGACCUGAAGGAGGUGUCAUGUAAUGUCAUUAAGUUGAGGAAAUCAGUAAUCUUGCUACUUUGUUGUCAAAAAGCCAAAUGCUAUUGCUAAGGAUUGAUUUGUAAAAGAAACAAAACGGGUAAAACAUCAAAGGGGUUGACUUUUUUUUUUAAAGAGACUAUUAUUGUCAGCAGAGUUUCUCAAUAGUACAUUAUUCUUAUUUCCUGUGUUCUGAUCUCUGCAUUUUACUUGAUUGUUUCUGUGUUGUCUCUGCAAAACCCUGGCUCAUAUUCCCAUUGUGUUCAGCUUCAUCUGUUCAUUGCAUUAAUUAGUUACUUUGUCCUUCUGCUGCUGGCUCAGGACACUCCCUCAGCUGUUCGUCAUUCUUCUGAUUAGCCUCACCUGGAUUCAAUGUCACUUUUCACACCUCAGCAUUUAGGCCCCUCGAUUCUCGUUGAUCUCUGAUGGUUUGUCCAAUGUUUUGGGUCCUCCAAGAAACCACACGUGACAGGUUCUGCUUUUAUUAUGAAAGAGAAACUUUUUUUUUUUGAGGGGAAAACCAUUUAUUCUUCAGAUAUGUGUUUUUGUAUCACAGCUAAGAAGAUGAGCUACUCAUCUGUAAAUCAACAGCCUUCGAUUCCUACAAUGAAAACCUGUUAAGCUGAAAGUUGCUCCUCAGGCCCAUAAAUGUAUUCAUACAUUCAGAGCUGCAAAAAUCCUUUAGCUGCCAACAUGUAGCUGAGACAUUUUUCCUGAGGACUAAACUGUGUCUAAAGUUUCUCAGUUGUCUCUGUUUUUAAUUUCAGGACAAAUUAAACGUAUGUAAAGUUCUGGCAGACUUAAGUGUUAGUGUAUGUUAUGCAUCUUGUAUGAAUAACACACACAGUUAGUGUGGGUCUGGCCUGUUGAUGUUGUGAAACAGUCUUGCUAACUUUACAAUAGAAAAUUGAAAAUAUCCCCUUGAAAUAAAUGCGUAAUGUCCAAAAAAAAAAAAAAACACCCUCUGGCAUAUUGAUUUAUUUUUGUUUUUAACAUUAGCCUGAACAAAACAGAAAACCAUUUUAACACAAUGUGGGUAAUGUGGCAUAUGUAUUAAUGGUUUAUUGCAAAGCAGCAUAGAAAAUUA